AGAGAUGGACGAGAUGGACCUCUUAUCUACUUGAGUUAUUUAAACAUCGUGUUGUAUUUGAAUUUUAAGUUUAUUGUCAUGCUGUUACCAAAAUGUUGGGAAUGGUAAUUCGCCGAUAGUCUUAUUACCAUAGAAGAACCAUAGAUUACCAAGAAGAAUGUUGUUGUAGUUGUUAGUUGCUGGAAAAAGUGGGUGGGUCUGAUAAAUUAAUUAGAUCGACCCAUUUGACUGGAAGUGUCUCAAUAUUUUUGUGAGCUAAUCGAUUCUUUUGUUUGGAUUGCAGUUGCAACCGAUGGAAAACACGAAUCUUCGCUUUUUGUUAAAUCGACGGUAUUCACGAGGAAGUCGUUUCCCACUUAAUGUCAACUCUGAAAUUCUCUACGGAUGGAGAGCGAUGCUGAUCACCCAGACAUGUCACCCAGUAUUCUCCUAAAAAGUUGCAACCGAUGGAGAACAUGAAUCUUUGCCUUUGGUUAAAUCCAUUCUCGUCGUUUCCCACCUGGAUGAUGUCAACUCCGAAAUUCUCUACGGAUGGAGAGCACCCAGACAUGCUGCCCAGUAUUCUCCUUAGAAGGAGGAAACGUCUAGGAGUAGUGCAGCCUACUGUCAACUAUUUUGUUCAAAAUCAUUGUAUAUUUUACUGAAUGUGCCAUUGAAAUGAUACAGGAUUCAUCAUAAUUGUCCGCUGUUUGUAUUGGACUUGCAAGAUUACCUACCCCAGCAUGGAUCAAUCGCUCAUUCCAUCUUCUAGAGAACCUUGGAUAACUGAUUGAUGGUUUCAUGUGUUCUAAACUGCUGGUUUCUAAAUUUGCAUGGCAGAUUUUAUGAAAAGUCCUGUCAUUUCAAGAAAAGUCAACAAGGUCUGUUGUUUGCUGACCUGUUGGCUGCUACCUUGAAUCCUCCUUGUUGACUUCUUUACACAGGCCCUCCUGAUUUGAGGGUAAUCCUUCGCUACUGAUCAUGGACUUCAUCCAUUGGUGACAACCGACGAGAGAAUACUGUAAUUGAAGACAGAUCAAUUGUUUAGUUAGAUCAAAUUACAAGUGCAUAUCUGGGCUCCCUUCUUUUCUGUGGCCCCGUUUCCCUAACUAACCACUAACCAACGCCCGCCGGUGGUCACUCACCCGCUGUGAACCCAGGAGGAGGGGAGGGCUCU